rnacentral:rRNA from 1 species
GAUUAGCUAGUUGGUGGGGUAAAGGCCUACCAAGGCGACGAUCUGUAGCUGGUCUGAGAGGACGACCAGCCACACUGGGACUGAGACACGGUCCAGACUCCUACGGGAGGCAGCAGUAGGGAAUUUUCCACAAUGGGCGAAAGCCUGAUGGAGCAACGCCGCGUGCAGGAUGAAGGCCUUCGGGUCGUAAACUGCUUUUAUGUGCGAAGAAUAUGACUGUAACACAUGAAUAAGGGACGGCUAACUACGUGCCAGCAGCCGCGGUCAUACGUAGGUCCCAAGCGUUAUCCGGAAUUAAUGGGCGUAAAGAGUUGCGUAGGUGGCACUAUAAGUGGAGCGUGAAAGCGUGCGGCUCAACCGCAUUACUGCGUUCCAAACUGUAGAGCUUGAGUAUGAUAGGGGUAACUGGAAUUUCUAGUGUAGGAGUGAAAUCCGUAGAUAUUAGAAGGAACACCGAUAGUGUAGGCAGGUUACUGGAUCAUUACUGACACUAAGGCACGAAAGCGUGGGGAGCAAACGGGAUUAGAUACCCCGGUAGUCCACGCCGUAAACUAUGGAUGCUAGCUGUUGCACAUAUCGACCUGUGCAGUAGCGAAGUUAACGCGUUAAGCAUCCCGCCUGGGGAGUACGGUCGCAAGAUUAAAACUCAAAGGAAUUGACGGGGACCCGCACAAGCGGUGGAGCGUGUUGUUUAAUUCGAUGGUAAGCGAAGAACCUUACCCAGGCUUGACAUCCUGCUAAGGCUCUCGAAAGAGAACUGUGCCUUCGGGAAAGCAGUGACAGGUGAUGCAUGGCCGUCGUCAGCUCGUGUCGUGAGAUGUAUGGGUUAAGUCCAUUAACGAGCGCAACCCUUAUGUUUAGUUG